rnacentral:rRNA from 1 species
AUGCCCGCGUCGUUAUCCAUGGUGUCGUGUUCGGAUUCGAGGCGAACGAGAGGAGAGGAAGAGGCUGUUAGAGGUAUUCACGACCCAACUAUUACUAGGCUAGUCGUGUCCGGUUCGUACAUGGCACCGACCCGGUUCUACAGGCGACGGUCGAUGGUGGCGCUUGGACGCGCGGCGACGAGGCUGAUCCAGCGAGCUGUCGUUAGAGUAGAGCAACGCCGGCCCCUCACCCUGUUGUCGCCAAGGCUCAUCCACACCCAGCAGAAUUCAAGAUCUCCGUUCUCCCGGAAAGAACACCUUGUGUCGCAAAUCAAGCAAAAGAAAGAGGAGUUAUACGAUCUCAUCGCUAACGCCGAGGCGGCUUCCGUAGCUUCUGGGUCAGCCAUGUGUGUGCUCUCGACUCUCUGCACACGAAUCGAGCCUAGACCACAUGACCCUCAAUGGCGCCGGAUAACCAGAACCAAGAAGGUGGCCAAUUGGACUGCGGCGUCCAUCUUUUUUGUUGCUUCUGGAAUGAGUUUAUGUGGCGUGGUUGCCCGUGCUCCCCUAAUAGAGCAUGAAGGAGUGUACUACACUGCCGAGAGUGUGCACAGGCUAGUGGAGCAAGGCUGCCUGCCUGAGAGUGUGCUCAAGCAAGACAAGGGCCGAUGGGUCACCGCGUGCUUCCCAAUCCAGUCCCCACCCCAAGGCAUCAUAUGGCGCGUCGGGGACGGGCGAAACAUCCGUAUAUGGCGCGACCGGUGGCUGCCAAGGGAGCCGUCGCGACAACCCGUGACCUUGCAGGGCACGUGCCGCCUCAGGAGGGUUGCGGAGCUCCUGGACGACAAUGGGUCCUGGCGCAUGGACCUUCUUUGUCGCCACUUCCUCCCGGCGGAUAUUGACGUCAUCACUAGCAUCCGCACCUCGCCUCGCGUCCACGACGACAUCAUCACAUGGGCACCAGAGAGGAACGGUAUCAUCACCGUUCGGUCCGCUUACCGCCUUGCCAUGGACGAGCGCGAGCGUCCAUUGGCUUCCGCCACGAGCAGGGCACCAGAUGGUCGUCGCGCCAUCUGGAAGAUCAUACGGGGGUGCCCUGCUUCCCCGAAGCUUACUGACAUAUGCCCCCUCUGUGCUAUGGAACGUGAGGACGGAUUCCAUGCGUUUUGCAGGUGCCCCUUGGCAAGGGAACUCUGGCGCAUCAUGGCUCUGGACUGGAACAUCCCCAAGAUCACACACGACAAGCCGCCACCCCCUGCUGAAGCUUCCAGGCGUUUUUUGCACGGGUAUAUCAACUCACUAUUCUGCAUACAACAAUAUCCCAAGGGCGAUAUAGAGAAGGGGAAGAUGGUGUUUAAUCCCUCACCACAAGGCGGCCAUGUGAGCAAGGAGGCAAAGGAGAGCGUGAGCUGGGCUCCCCCUAUGCCGGGCUGGACAAAGUUAAACACGGAUGGGAGUUCCAUCGCAGCCACGGGCGCGGCGCGAGGUGGCAUGAUCCUGCGUGAUGAUAGAGGUGUGAUCAUCUACAACGCAUGUAGGGAGCUCCGCACAUGUGAUAAAGCCCUCGAGGCGGAGCGAACUGACUACACCUUGACAAACCGGCCUUCCAUUUCACCCUAG